rnacentral:lncRNA from 1 species
UGUCUCAAACCAUCUACAAUAUGAAUAUCUUUGGAACACAACCCAUACAAUAGUGUUCAAAACAUAAAAUGAAAGAACAUAAGAGAAAUGGUAGCCAAAUCCUCUAAUGCUAUGAGGACUCACCAAUCUUCAAGCCUUGCUCUACUAAGAUCCUAUCCCCGGGGAUGAGAGUCGAUAUUGUCGGACCCUACAUUUGAAUAAGAAAUGUAGGAAAGAGUUUGCAUUAGUACAAACAUAUGAUAGCUAACAUAAACAUCAACAUAAGCAUAAGAGAUAACAACAUAAGUAAUAAGCAUAAUCAAUGCACAUAAAUCAUCAUAACAUAGAAGGAAUACUUCUUGAAGUAACCUCAACUUAUCCUUAGUCAAGACUUGGGUCAUCCACCUCUAGUCAAGCAUAUUGUAACGACCCGAGAGCACCCCCUAGCCGUUACAUGCGUAUUCAACCUCUCGGAGGUCUUAUACAAUCCUUAGCAUUCAUUCAUUGCAUAGAUCAUAAAAAUCACUAAGAAUUUAAAACUUUUACUCAAUAAAACCAUAAGACUUCAAGAGUUAUCAACAUUUGAAAACAUCAAUACGCAAGCGGAACUACUAAGUCUCUUUAGCCAAUCUUAGACAAGAACUUAAAACAUACUAAGGGAUACGCCCCUUUACAAAUGAAAUGAAACUAAAGUGUCUAUUACAAUGACUAAGAAACUUCUAAACAUAGUCCUCGAAUCUUGAGGACAUACCAAAGACUUGGAAGAGUGAAGCAA